rnacentral:rRNA from 1 species
UACGAAGGGGGCUAGCGUUGCUCGGAAUCACUGGGCGUAAAGCGCACGUAGGCGGCUUGCUAAGUCAGGGGUGAAAUCCUGGAGCUCAACUCCAGAACUGCCUUUGAUACUGGCAACCUUGAGUCCGGGAGAGGUGAGUGGAACUGCGAGUGUAGAGGUGAAAUUCGUAGAUAUUCGCAAGAACACCAGUGGCGAAGGCGGCUCACUGGCCCGGUACUGACGCUGAGGUGCGAAAGCGUGGGGAGCAAACAGG